rnacentral:lncRNA from 1 species
AGGGUUGUCUGGAUGGGCAGGAAGAGCAGCGGGGGAGAAAGGGCUGGAGGCAGGGUUGGGCCUCCCCAGGGUGUGGGGUGCAGGGAGGGGCUGCACAGGCUGUUCCCCUGAAGGAGGGAGGAGGGAGGGAGCACAGAGGUGCUGGGAGCAAAUGGAGAGGGAAGUGGCAGCGGCCCGAGUGCCAGGCGGUCCCGGUUUGGGGUUGAUCUUUGUGGAACAGCUCCCUGGCCCGUGUGUAAGUGGUCGGGGGAGGCACGGAGGUCUGGAGCUACAAGCGGUGGCAGGAAGGCAGGUCCCAGUCUUGGGGGUCUGGAGCUUAUCUUCUUCCUGUGAACUGAGUGUGGGCAGCACCUAUGGGCGGUGCCCUGGACCUGUGGUCUGGUGGAGUCCAGGCCUCCCAGGGACAGCAGGGCAGCCAGGGCUAGAGGAGCCUGAGGGUCCAGGUCAGGGUGGCCCUGGGGCCACUGCCUCCACCUUUGACCAGCUCUGCUGUGGGGAUCUGGGCAUGAGACCCCUUCACCCAGGAGGGGAGCCGCGUGAGUGAGACCCUAAGUCCAUACCCCAUGGGGGGCUCUGACCCUCCUGCAUAGGGCCUGGACAGGGGUGGGUGGGGUGUGCGGGGGGCGGUGGGGAGCCCAGACUCUCCCAGACACAGCCUGCUCUGCUCCAGAAUGUGGGCUUGGGCACUGCAGGCUGGCUGGGUCUGGGCUGCCUGGUGUGCCUGUGGUGGCUGCAUUCCCACAGCCGGGACUGAGGCCUAGUGAGGACCAGGGAGGAGCCUGAAGGGAGCUCCAUGGAGGACCUGCCUCGGAUGACACCCCUAUCUUAAGAAGGUCAUGGAGACACACGGACAUCGGGAACGGACGGAGGAAGGAUGUGCAGUUGCAGCCUUUUCAGCAGACGCCCUGAGAACGGGAGGUCAAGAGUUGGAGCAGACGGUCAGUUCUGACAGGGCCUCAGACCUAAGGCAGGAGCACCCCCUAUGCCAGACCUCCUGGGUCACAGGAUAUGCACGGACAUUGGGAAGGGAUGGAGGAUGGACGGAGGAAGGACGUGCAGUUGCAGCUCUUUCUGCAGAUGCCCUGAGAGAGGAGCAAGAAGGUCCUCGCCAGAUGCUCCUGGACUUGCUUUGGACUUUCCCUUGCUCUUGGACUUGCUCUGGCACCUGUGCUCUUGGACUUCACAGCCUCUAGAACUUUUGGUCUUUGUAUUUACACCAGUCAUCUCACAAUGCGUGUUGAGCUUUGCACCCUUUUACCAAAUGAGGUCACCCCAUGAAUGCUGUCAUGUUAUCACAGAUAUGCGCACAGAAGCUGUAAUGUUAUUAAACAAAGCAAUGUAUCCAGAUCACUCAGAAUCUAUGCCUGUCACGGGGAGCAGGAGAAGAGGGUGAAUGAAGAGCCACAGCAUGGCAGGGGAGCCACUGCAAGGAUGCUGAAACUCGUGUGAACAGAGUUGCUGUAGGCAGGCUGCUAUGGAACCUUUUGGGGAAGCACUGCCUCUUAGGGAUGGCAGUGAAAAUGGGAGAAGAGGGUGGCAUUGCCUCCAGAUGGAAGAUGUAGUGCUUUGCCUUGCUCCUUGGUGCUUGGAGAGGGAAAGGGAUGCUGCUGUAAAGUUCCUGGCUGGACUUUGGCUUGAUAAAGCACGGGCACCUUUGGGAGUAUGAGGGUGGGUGGGUGUGCACAUCUUCCAUGAGGAGCUGUUAGUAUUGGGGCAGACGUUUCAAGUAUGGCAGACAAAGGAUGUUCUGCGUGGGGAAAUGUGGUGACACCCAUUUCACAAGGACAGCUCACAUAGAUUGAGUGCUCAGGAAGGACCAGCACCAUACCCAGUGCCUGAUGUGUAUCAUCUCAAUUAGUCCUUGCCUCAGAUGCAAAAGGAAACCAUCGCCAUCAUCAUCACCACCAUCAUCAUCUUCCUCCUGUGCAGAUGGAAAGGCUGAGGCAUAGAGAGGUGACGGAGUCUGCCCAGGACUGCAAGCCUGCUGGUGGCAGAGCCAGGUUCCAAUGGAAUGAAGGCUGUCAUCCUCAGAUGGCAGGGUAGGCAGGUGGCUAGAGCUCACUUGGGAGAAGGGGAAAGGACACUGACUUUGGCUAGGGAUGGAGCAGAGCUUGGGCUGGCUUUCCAUGCACGGGCAGGGGGCGUGGCUCAUGGCUACGCUCCAGCCCCGGGUGUGGACAUUGAAUCUUCCAGGUCUACCCUAGGCUAUGGGUCUGGACAGCACUGUGAUGGAAAGAAGACACUCUAUGUCCUGCAUUCUGUGACCAAUGAUGUGACUGUGGGAAUGGCGCUGGCAUCUGGCUGCCACUCUGGGACGGGUGGCCAGCUGCCAUCAGGCCCCACCCAGGAUGGGACCACCAUGCGACUUCUUCCCUCGCUCCUCCUGGUCAUGUCCAGAGCCCCAGGAGGACCAGCAAAGCCUCUCGAGCCGAUGGCAGCUCACGUUCUACCUUGUCAGCUACUCCUCUCCUGGGCAACAUUGGCUGCUUGCUGUGGCUCUCCCCGGGGUAUGUGACUGCCUCUGUGCUGGGCACCUGGCCUGGGCUUUCCUUCUGGGCCUGGGCAGCUGGGCUCAGCUUGGACCCAGGCAGCAGCCACAGAGGGGCCCAUGGAGGUGACAGAGUUGCUUCUAUGAUGGUGAACGGGCAGCUGUGACACGGAGGAGGCGACCACUCCUCAGUUUCCAAGUGCUGCGGUCAGGGCCGGGGCCAGCAAAGUCCCUCCCAUAUUCAAAGAGUGGGUUUGGGUUUGUCCCAGGAGGACAUAGUCAGGAGCCCAUGCUGGCACAUGCCUCCUCCAAAGUUCAGCCUGGAUCCCCAGCCUCUGCCAACGGCCCCGCUCCUUAGCUAACCCAGCUUGCUCCUGGGUUCCACGGCGGAGUCAGAUGUUUCUGGGCAGUUUCACCUUUGUGCCUUAAAUGCAUGUUGAGGACUUUAAGGAAUUGUGGAGAAAUAGGGCUGUGGCAAAGGCAAGUGACAACUGGGAACAAUGAUCCUGCAGAGGCUGCUGAGGCCUGGGCCCCAGGGGCGUGGGUUCAUCCUUCUGCCUGGGCUUUGGUGGGAGGGGCAGACUCUGUGGUCUGAGACACAAAAAAACCCAAAACAUACGUGUGUACAGACACACAGCAGAGCCACACACACACUUGUGCCCAUGCACACACUCACAGGAGGCCCGUGGACUCCGCACAGGGAAGAAACUCCUCCGGUCGACAGUGGACGGCGCUGCAGCAGGGACUCACCCCCAAGCCCUGCCUGCCUCCCAUUGCCCACCUGGCCCUGGCUUGAUGGGCUUAUCUCAUGCUGUGGCCGGGGACCUCUUGCUUCCUGCAACCCCUUGCUGGACUGGGGCCUGGGCCUCUCCUGGGCUGUGCCUAGGGUUUGUAACCCAGGGCCUGUGCCGGCGUGCACAGAGCAUCUCUCCCUGGGAGGCUCAGGGCUGCCUCCUCGAGCUCUGUGGGCCUGCACUGGCCGGUGAGCUUGUGGUGUGGGUUUUCAGGCUGUAUCCUUCUACCUCCUGAGCCCAGGGGUCCCAGGCGCCCUGCAGCUGUCUCCUCGGCCAUCCUGUGGGGCCCCGAGGCCUUGCCCUCACUUCAGUGCCUGGGUGCUCAGGCUUUGCCCAGGUGCCAGGAGAAGGUGUGAGCAUGAGCCUAUUGGACACACCUGGCGACGUAUACCAGGUGUCCCACCCCUGCCACCAUGGGGCCUCCCGAUACGGCAACCACCACGGACCUGUGGGGACCAAUGAGGAAAGAGAGAGGCAGGUCUGGGCCAGGCUCACAGGGACUCCGGCAUAGCAGACCCUGCCCCAGCAGGCCCCCUUGUCCUUCCUGGGUCCUGGUCCUUCAUGAGGAACUAGCCCAUCCCUGGUGGGGCUCCCACCCCGCUUCUCAGUGGGCUCUAUGCUUGCCUCGUCGGAGUCACCCCUCAGGCAGUCCUGGGAUCCUCUCCUUUAGACCCACUGUGCCUUCCCGGCCUCCCGGGCUUCUGCUGGGGGCAGAAGAAAUGCCUCCCCAGGUCUGUCUCUGGAGGCUCUGAGGGAGAUGGGCUUGGGGGCUGUAGGAGGAGGCAGGGAUUCCAGGGUGUCAGGAAGGCAGGGGUGCCAGGUCCCACCUAGUGAAGUAAUAAACCGUGGGUGGUGAUAGUGACCCAGUGCCCUCACUGCCCAGCCCCGCCUGUCCUCAGCCAGCACUGCAGGGAUCCCAGGCCCAGACUCUGGAGGCCUUCACUGAUCCCAGCCACCCCAGAAAAGCUGCAGCCUGCAGGCACCAGCCGGGCCAUAUGCCCAGUGCCAGCUAGGGCCCACCGCCCAUCCUGCACACGGGGCCGCUGGGCAGGUGCCCCUCACACCCCCAGGAUGUCAGUGCUCACCUCGAGCAAAGCGCCCCAGCUCGGCCUUGGGAGGUGGUCGUGUCCAGGGGGAUGAUGGAGAGCUGUCCAACCAAGAGAGCGGGAGGGAGGGAAGGAGGGAGGGAGAGAGAUAGAGAGAGAGAGAGAGAGAGAGAGAGAGGAAGUGUGGGCCCUAAGGCUGCCUUAGUGGAGGUGCGCGUGGCCUGCACCUCACCAAGCCUAGCCACUCUCGCGGCUCUGAGUGGCUCACAGGCUUGUGAGGGCCCCGUCGCUGCCUGCUGGGUCCCCACCAGGGCUCCCUCUAGGAAUGCGCCAUGGCUGCUAUGACAAUUUGCACAGCCCAGUGGCUUAAACACCAUUUAUACCACAGGUCCAGAUGAAUCCUGCAGGGCCAAGGUCUGGGGGUGCUGGAGGCCAUGCUCCCUCCAGGCUUGCGGGGAGAACUUCCCUGCCUCCUCCAGUCUCUCCAUCCCUGAGCUCUCGGCUCCUCCUCCGUCUUCAGGGCCAGGGCGUAGCGUCUGCUCUCUCGGCCUCUGCCUCCGCUUCCCACCUCACCUGGCUUCUGUCUAUGUCAGUCUCCCUCUGCCAACCUCCUAGAAGGACACUUGUGAUUACAUUAGGGCUCACCCCUUUAAUCCAGGGGAGCCUCUCCACUUCAUGAUUUUCAGCUAACUUGCUUCUGCAAAGACCCCCUUUCCCUAUAAGGGCACACAUUCACUGGUCCCGGGGCUAAGGACCUUGCUCCAAGUCCCUCCACCCAUGAUGCUGUGCCUUCCAGAAACCUGUCCUCUGCAGCUCGGUCUUGACCCCAAGCCUGCUGGUGACCUGAACUUCACAGGGUUAUCCCCUUGGACUGUGUGCAGCACGAUGCAAUUUCUGGGCCUGAAUGUCAUGCUCCCUGGGGCAGGACCUUGAGCCUGCAGCACACACUAGGCCACCUGCAGUCUCACAGGCCAUGCCCUGGGUAGACAGGGAGGUGCUCAACCCCAGCUCGGGUCCUCUAGUCUGCCUGGCUACCAUGCUUCUCACUCUCCUGCAUCUGCAGACCCUGCGUUGCCAUGUGAGGCAGGGGUGGGGUGGGGCUGAGGGCGUGGCUUUGGUCCCUGGCUGUCCGGAUGAAGUACCAGAGUGACGCCACAGCCCAUCCCGGUGACAUGCUCACCCCCAACCCCCGUGUCCGGGACCCCGGUCUUGUGUGGUCCCUGAUGUGGAGUCCUCAGUCCUUAAGAUACAUCCAGAAAGUCCUGGCCAUGAAUUGGAGGUGCAGAGUCCUGCAGAGCCUCUGGGCUGGGCUGGUGCCCCCAGGAGAUGGAGGGCCUGGUGGAUGCCCUCCUCCCUCAGAGCUGGGGCAGCUGCCUCCCAGGGGUGGGACUCUGGGCUCAGAGAGAGGCCCUUGAGCUGCAGCUCAGGGGGAUGCGAGGCUUCGUGGACUGUGUCCUGGUCCAUGUGGUGCACGUGUCUCCACCUCCAAGGAGAGGCUCCUCAGUGUGCACCUCCCCCACAUCCGUCCUCUCUGCCGGCCCCGGGCGUCUGAGCAGUCAUUCCAUGCCAGCACCUCUGCAGCCUGCUGGGCCUCAGGUUCUCUGUGAGGGACCUCCCCGGCCUUCGGCGGAGGUGGAGUAAGCUCCGUCAAGGCAGGUGGCUUCGUCCCUUCCUGUGAGUGACACCAGUGAUGAAAUGGACCCCUCCACACAGGCAUCCUCAGGGCACAGGGCCCUGGGGGCACCUUCCUCCUUUCGUAUUUGUUGAGAAAAAAAGUGGCAUUGCGCUCACACCAGGAUGCUGGAGCAGAGCUGACAUGCUCGGGAAAGGGCAGAGGUCACUGGGGGUGGGAAGGUCAUCCAGUCCAGACUCAGCACCUCGUGGGCUGGUAAACUGAGGCUCAAAGUGCUGGUGCCAGGCCUGAGGCCUCGCGGUGACCCCUCUCUCUGGUUCCCAGCACCUGCCUGAGACCUGCCCCAGGCACCCAUAACCUGGAAUUCCCUGUUUCCUUGUCCAGGGCCUGAGGAAAUGGCUCCCCAGGUCUGUCUCUGGAUGCUCUGAGGCAGAUGGGCUUGGGGGCUCUAGGAAGAGGCAGGGACUCCAGGGUGUCAGGAAGGCAGGGGUGCCGGGUCCCACCCAGUGGAGUAACAAACUGUGGGUGGCGUUUGGGCCUCCCCGCCUUCCCCACUGGGUGUGCUGGUGCUGGCGCUGCUGGGUCAGGGCUGCCCGUGACCCCAGACACCACUGUCCAUCCUGUGAGGCUCCCGUCUGGGCAUGUCCUGGGUGGAUUCCUCCUUUCUGUUAAGUAGCUACAUGAGGCAGGGGCUCCUGGAUCCAAAGCAAAUGACAGGAAUUCCAGAGCCAGGUGCAUCCACUCAGGGCAGCCAGUGUUGGUGGAGCUGCCUCUAGCACAUGGAGGAGAGUGAAAGUCAGCCUGCCCCUCUCACGAGAAAAGAACCUGGGGAUACCUCUCAGCCUCCAGCGUUGCAAGUGCAAGGCCAGUGGAGUUAAUCUGCAACGUGCACGAGGGCGUGUGUCAGUGGCUGUGUGCAGGAGUGUGAGUGAGCAAGAGCAAGAGCGCAUGGCUCCUGCUGUACCUCAAGGUGUGGGCUCCUGGUGGCUGCUCAGUGUUCCCAGGGGUGAGAGGCCUCAUGUAUCCUAGGCUGCCUGAGAUUUCUGUGUGCUGAUCGCAUCCUCAGUUUCUUGUCCACCGCUUCACUGGCAAGAGUCCCAGGCUCCAAGGACACCCUCCCUGCACAUGAUUGGGUGUUAAUGGUGGCCUGGGUUGUGUCUUCCCCUGGGGAUGAGGGUUGGGUGUCCAUGGUGCCCUGGGCUGUGUCCUCCCCUAGGGAUGAGGGUCGGGCCUCCACGAUGCCCUGGGCUGUGUGCUCUUAUGGGAAUGAGGGUUGGGUGUCCAAGAUGCCCUGGGCUGUGUCCUUCCCUGGGGAUGAGGGUUGGAUGUCCAAGAUGCCCUGGGCUGUGUACUCCCCUAGGAAUGAGGGCUGGGUGUCCAAGAUACCCUGGGCUGUGUCCUCCCCUGGGGAUGAGGGUUGGGUGUCCAUGGUGCCCUGGGCUGUGUCCUCCCCUGGGGAUGACGGUUGGGUGUCCAUGGUGCCCUGGGCUGUGUUUCCUUGGGGAUGAGGGUUGGGUGCUAUGGCAUCCUGGGCAGGUGCUUCCUUUCUGCACAAGGGUUGGGUGACCAUGAUGUCCUGGCAAUGGCUUCCCUGGGUUGCCUCUUUUCUGCCAUGUGGGAAGAGCAGGGGAGGUUUAGUUGGUCUCAGCACAUCAUUCUCUCAGGAUAAGUAGAAGAGUGUCUGAGCUGUGAGGCCAGUGCUCCAGCUUUGGAAUUGUCUUCCCCACCCUCACCUCCAUCCCAUCAAAGCCCGACAUGUCGUGUGGCAGCAGCGAGGUGGGUGUUGGCUGUUCUCUUGGGCUGGGGGUUAGUCGUGGACGGGGAAAGGAGAGAUGCUGGUCAAAGGGCAUGAAGUUUCUGCUGAUGGGAGGAGUCAGUUCUUUUGAUCUGUUGCACAGCAUGGUGACUAUAGUUAACAAUAAUGACUAUUUCAAAAUUGCUAAAAGAUGAGAUUUUAAAUGUUCUCACCACAAAAUGAUAAGUGUGUGAGGUGAUGGAUAUGCCACUUACCUUGUUUUAAUCAUCCCACAAUAUAGACAGGCAUUGUCACUUUGCAUUGUACCCCAGGAAUCUUCACAUUUGCUUUUUUGUCAAUUAAAAAUAGAGACACAAAAGGAGAGAGGGGAGAGCAAUAGACUCUUCACGGAACCGUGGGCUUCUGCCUCCGGGUAAAAUAAACUGCAAAAAGGAUUCCCAGGAAACCGUUCCCUCUUUCAGCCCUUGGUUACAGGAAGCCGGAUUUGGGAAAUCUGCCUGGAUGACAUUCACAUGAACGGGCACAUACAGGAAAACACGGUAAUGUAAUUAGAAUAGUCAGAGAAAAGUAGCCAGAAAUGACAUUCACAUGAACGGGCACAUACAGGAGAAAACACGGUAACGUAAUUAGAAUAGUCAGAGAAAAGUAGCCAGAAAUGACAUUCACAUGAACGGGCACAUAUAGGAGAAACCAUGGUAACGUAAUUAGAAUAGUCAGAGAAAAGUAGCCAGAAAUGACAUUCACAUGAACGGGCACAUACAGGAAAACACGGUAAUGUAAUUAGAAUAGUCAGAGAAAAGUAGCCAGAAAUGACAUUCACAUGAACGGGCACAUACAGGAGAAAACACGGUAACGUAAUUAGAAUAGUCAGAGAAAAGUAGCCAGAAAUGACAUUCACAUGAACGGGCACAUACAGGAGAAAACACGGUAACGUAAUUAGAAUAGUCAGAGAAAAGUAGCCAGAAGAAUUUGCAACGUGCCCUUGUAACACCAAAUUUGAUCAGUUUUUUAAAAAAUGAUCGUUAUGUAGGUGAUUGAGAAGUAAAUGUAUUCUUUUUUAAGGUAAAAAUUUGGACCCUUAUCAUGCAUACCCCCCUCUGUGCUCUUCAAAUCAACAUCAUUAUUAAUAUCUGUACAUUUUUGCUCAUCUGAGCCAGCACAGGCUGAGGCUGUCAGAAUGGACACCUUUUGGUUGUUGGGUUUCUGUCAGUUUCUGGGGUGAAGCUGCGUGAUUGAGAACGUAGCUCUUGGCUGCCAUCUCGGGGAUUAUUAAGGACUGUGAACUCUAUCCACAAGCCAUGGCAAUAUCUGUCCCACCGAAUGCUCCCUCUAACACACUCUUACUCCCGUGAUGUGUGUUAAGGGCUCCGACGAUGCUGAAAACAGCACAGGAUGUGAAAAGGCAGGAACAGUUCUGAAGUCAAAGGCUGAUGUCCUGUUUCUCUUUCCCUCUGUGACCGACUCCCUUCCCAGUGGUAACAAGUACCCACAGCUUGGUUUGAAUUUCUGCACGCUGUUGUCUGUGCACUCGCUCACACUUACGCACACAGCAGGCAUGUGGGCGAUGCUGGGUAUUUUGUGUAUGAGUGGGAUGCACAUACACACAUCUACAUCCAUAUCAUGCCCAUGCAUCUGUAACUUGCUUUUCCCGUGUAAGAACACUUCUUAGAGUUUGUUCAAUGCAUGUGUCUGUGUGAAUGAUUGAAGGCAUUUCUAACCCAUUUUAAAGAUGGCUACUUAGGACCAUAUGGAUGUUGUACUGAUGUCAUUUGACCACGUCCAUUGUUUCCAUCUUUUGGGCUGUUCUUGUGUAUUUUACUUUCCAUGUAACACUGUGACAUUGAGAAUUGGUACCUACAACAGUCUAUUUGCUUUACAUUAAAUUUGUAGGCUAAAAAAAAAAAAAAAAAAAAAAAAAAAAAAAAA